AGAGUUUGAUCAUGGCUCAGGACGAACGCUGGCGGCGUGCUUAAUACAUGCAAGUCGAGCGAGGUUACUGUUUUGGAUCCCUUCGGGGUGAAGAAGCUUUAACCUAGCGGCGGACGGGUGAGUAACGCGUGGGUAACCUACCCCAAAGUCCGGGAUAACAGCGGGAAACCGCUGCUAAUACCGGAUGCCUUUACCUUGGGGCAUCUUGAGGUAAAGAAAGGUAACGCUUUGGGAUGGGCCCGCGUCCCAUUAGCUAGUUGGUGAGGUAACGGCUCACCAAGGCGACGAUGGGUAGCCGGCCUGAGAGGGUGGACGGCCACACUGGGACUGAGACACGGCCCAGACUCCUACGGGAGGCAGCAGUAGGGAAUAUUGCGCAAUGGACGGAAGUCUGACGCAGCGACGCCGCGUGAGCGAUGAAGGCCUUCGGGUCGUAAAGCUCUGUCCUUGGGGAAGAAGGUCUUCGGACUUGACGGUACCCAAGAAGAAAGCCCCGGCUAACUACGUGCCAGCAGCCGCGGUAAU
rnacentral:rRNA from 1 species